AUUUUUUUAUUGCCAACACUCCAAAAGAAGUUAACACCUACAUGCCACUAAUUGCCAAAACAGGGUGCAUUUCCACAACACCAUAAAUUUGAUACGUUACCCCCAUUUAUUCUCCUAAUUUUUCCACAAUUUUCUGUUUAUUUGGUCUUGAUUUUUUUUUCAAUAAAUUUUUUUCUUUAGCACGCAAAUAUCUGGAUUACAAUAGCACUAGGUGAAACGUAUAUAACUUUUGGAUAUGAAAUAGAACCUCGAGAAUUGAGAUACGCACGUCACCUAUCGAGUUAUUUGGUUUACAAACAUCGACAUUGAUAUUUUUAAUGUCGAGAACACCAUGAAAUGUCAAUGCAUACAUGGUGAUACACCACAAAUACGAUCAAAACGUGAGAGUUGUUUGGAUCCUUGUAAUGCAAUUACACCUCUAUACAUAUUACUUUGAUUAAGUCGGUCAGCUUUAAUAAAUUAAAGAAAAUUAAAGUUUGUUGAAACGUUCCAAUUAUUGCAAGACAACAAGUCACAAUAUUGAUGUGUAAAAAAGACAUUGAUAUAUAUCCGAAUGUGUAAAAAAAGUUCACAACACAACAACGACAGAAUAUAUUCCCAUACAGAAUCCAUUCAAACCAUUCACUCAAUUAUUUAUAACACAACAAAUUUGUUACUGACAUUCAAUCCUCUCCACACAAUUAGUAAGGACUUGUCACAUGCAUGCACACUUUUAAAUAGAGGCUCCUUCUCACAAUCACUUAUUAUCCUCACAUUCACUCCCCCAUCCAUACAUUCCACGUUCAUUCACUCUCCACACUUUUUAACUACAGUCUAAUUGGAAACAUUCAUUCGACAAGAUAUUUACUUGGAAAGCUUCUCACACAUUUACUACAAAAAGGUGCCCAUUGGAUCCAAAAAGGUAAGUAAAUCAAAAUUUGUAUUCAAUAUUUGUGUUAAUUAAUAUUAAGUUGUUGAAGAAAAAAUGUGUUUGUGACACGAAAAUAUAAUUUUGUCGAAAGAAAUCGCUUCAGACGAUGUCAGUGUUAUUGCGUCUCCGUGACAGAUCGUGACACUGUCAAGAAGAAAUGUUUGUUCUUUUUUCUUUUUCUGUUUUAUUAUUUUCAGGUUUUAGGAUGUGAUUUUUUAAACAAAAAUGAUUUGUUUAAAAAUAUUAUUUACGAUCAAUUUUACACUUUUUUUACGUUCAUUUUGUAAACAAAAUAAUAUAUUUGUUUGAAAAUAUUCAUUAUUGUGUAAUUUACGCAGAUAUCUUUAGAAUAUGUUCUCUCUCCAAAUCAAUGGUUUUUUGCUACCAUCGUCCAGUAUCCAAAUCGCGAAUACAUUAAAGAUUUUGUAGAAUUCAUAGAUGCUAAAUCAACAAUGUUCUUUACUGUGUAGUAAUUUUUGUGAAUUCGUUUACGAAGUUAUGUUCAGGGGAUAACAAGAACAAUUUAGUAGUAAGUUGGUAUACGAAUUUAUAAUGCAAAUUGUACAUUGUGGCAAAAAUAAUGAACUUUGGGUGCGGUUAGAUGACCAAGUUGUCAGGUUCGGCAUGCAAGAAUUUUGCCUAAUUACUAGACUACCUUAUCAUGAAUCAUCCAUUGAAAUUGACUAUAGUAACGAUCG
rnacentral:lncRNA from 1 species